CCCGCCUCACCUUCCGUGGCGCUGGUGGAGAUGGUGAGGCGGGUGCAUCUCUUCUCAGGGUCGCUUGUGCGGGAGGCAGCAGCAGGCACAGCCGGAGCCGGCUUAGCCGCGCGGAAGCAGCGGUGUGGCUCACUGAAAGGCAGGCAUUCGCUGUUCACUCUCGGGGCCGCCUGUGCUUUGAGGGUGGCCAAGGGGUCCUCUAGGUACUUCCGCCCAUUGGCUUCUGUCAGCACUGAACGUGCGGCAGUGAAGAAAACGGGUUGUGCAGACCGUGUCCCCUGUGAGGUGUCGCACGCGUGUGCCGAGGAGAAGCUGUGCACUCUGAGGUCGCCUCACACGUGGGACACUCGUCCACGCCUGUGCUCUCCGUCACCACCCAGCCGCUGUGCUGGUUUCCUGCGGUGCCCAGAACCCACCGGGCAGAAGAGCUGCCGGGCUCGGGGCUCAGGAGGGCUCCUGACCGCUCCUCAAAACGGAUCCUUUUCCCAGAAGUGUGUGAGCGGUCCGUGUUUGGAAGGAAGCGCGGCUGGAGAAGCGGGGCCCACCGCCACGGCGCCCCAUAGUGGGAGGAGGUGGCCACGCAGGCUUCUCCUCUCCCCCUUCCGGUGGCUGCGUGCGCACGUGCGUCCUUGGCGCCCCUUGUCUUUGUGCGGCCUCCCUCGUCGUCCGGCUGUGUCUGUGUGUUUCCAAGUGUCCCUUCUCUUCUCUCUUAGGAAGAAAUCAGGCAUUGGAUUGAGGCCCCAGGGCCCCCUUCAAGGUCAAAACCCAAUGACAGCUUCCUCCCUGCAGGCCCCGCCUCUUAACUUCCCAGCAGCGCCUGGGCAGCGAGCCUUGGGCAUAUGCCACACCCAGCCCACAGCCACAGUGUUUCUCCGAGCAGAGCCCACCCGAACUGUCCUGCCCCAACCCGGGCACCGGUGUGACCCGGAGUGCAUUCCCCCACCCCCUCCCUCUGCCUCCCGGUGCCCGCAGGGAGGUGAGCACCACUCCCCACCCGCCCACCUCGGCCCUUCCCCCGUGUCCUUUCGGCCUGGAGCCUGCCAUCCUGGGACUCACCUGGGAGACAAACUAACCUCUCUUCCUUUAGGUUCUGAGUGUCAGGUGUCCUGUCUCAAGGACAAGAAAGUGGCGGCAACACUACCCAGCUCACAGGGUCCUACGCUUGGGCCGGGGCCAGCCACAGCCCCUUCUCUGGAACAAACAGGAGCUUUGCAGUCUUGCUGGCGCCUCCUUCUCCUUGCCCUGACCCAGCUCCCUCUCUCAUUUCUGCCCCUUCACAGGGCGCAACCUGGCACCGUGAUGUGGUUGAGUGGCUCAGUCCCACUGUUACAGGCAGCUGGGAUUCCUUCUUUAAGGGUGGGAGCUGUGAGGGGCCUUGGAAAGUCAGUCCUGAACCCGGACCAGCACUCCCGCCAGGGGCCUGCCCCAGCACCUGGCACCUCCGAGGAGCCACACAGAAUUCUCUGGGGAUGCCUAGGGGAGGGAAGGAGGGGCUCAGCCCAAAUCAGUGGUGCCUGAGACAGAAGCAUGUUCCCGGGAGGGAGCGGGGACUGGCCAAAAACUGAUGGGCCCAGGCCAGUCUUUAAGGAAUGCCCAGUCCCAGUGGCCAUGGGCAGCAUCAGCAAGGCCGCGGGAGGGGCUAGCAAGCCCACAGUAGCGUUUUGACGUGAUGGCCGCAGCUUUGAGGCUACAUACGUAAAGCUCUGGCAAAGAUUAAAAGUCAGCGUCCGAGCUACGUUUCCUACAUGGUGCACUGUAUAAACUCGCAUCCAGUAACCAUUUUAAAGGCUGCAUGUAUGAGUGUGAGUACUUGUGUGCUCAGGACAUUUGAGCUUGAUGAUUUUCUUGUGCAAAAGAUAAAGCCAGAUGCCGGAAUGGUCACCGCAGAUUUGCGUCGGCGAUAUAUGCCUGCCUGCGGGAGAGAAAGAGCCUUGUGAAUUGCAGAGAUCCCUGGGCCUGUGGCAGGGUAACAGAGAGCAGAGAGAGGGAUCCGGGCUGGCAGCAUGAAGGGAGUGCAGCAUUACAUCAUGGCAGGCUUUCCAAAGGCCCAGUCGCUCUCCUGGAAGCUCAGCCCUGGUACAGAGCAGGGCACCCCUCUGGGUCACCAGCAUCACGUCCGAAGAACACAGCAGGCAUUUUUUUCCCUUCCCGCUAUAGAUUCCAUGCCGGAAGCACAUGUUCAGGGUCUCUGGAGGCCAGAGAUGAGUCUUCACUCUCAGAGCAAAGUUCACAACAAUAAAUGCGCGCCUCAGACAAGGGCAGCCCAAGCCAGAGGGUCUGCGGUGAAUCGCAGAGGUCACAGAGGAGCGAGUGGACCGUGUGCUCAGGGAGGGACAGAGAGGCGAGGCGGUGGCUCCUGAGCUGAGGUUCUGUGGACAAGCAGGCCUGGCCCGUGGAGGGACGGGGAGAGAUCGGCUUUGUGGAGUUCGGCAAGGAACAACAGAAGCAAGAAGCAGCCCAGGUCCUGAGCUUGUGGCAGGGGUGGGACUGAAAAGAGGACGUGUGUGAACCCUGCAGACUCUGCCCAGUUUGGGGUUACUCUAAGGAACUGAAACUGCCUCACAGGAAGUACAGCAGUACCUGCCAGACAGUGGUUUCAGGGUCCUUUUUAGUGUUUUCCGUGUUUUGAAAAUCAGACAUGACUAAUAGCUCUGGAAACAAAGGCAAAGAGCAGUCUGUUGUUCACACACACCCCUCCCACCACAUCCCAAAGGGAACUUAAUCUCCCGGCUGACAUUUCCUCCUCCAGCCUCCGCUCCAGCUUCCGGAGCGCACUGAGCGCUGAGCUCCCAUUCAGCGACAGAGGACCUGUGCUCCUACUCUACUGAGGGUUGGCAAUCCCUUCUCCCCAGCUGUGGAGACCAGGAGUCUGAAGUCAAGGCGUGGAAAGGCUCAUCCGCCACCUGCGCCAGCACCGCGUGCCCUGCGCCGUGGCCACCAGCUCUGGGAGCGCGUCCUUCGA